rnacentral:lncRNA from 1 species
UUCAGUUCCUUUUAGGAAACAUAAAACGUUCUUGCUGAUUGCAUGGACAGAACCAUAGAGGGUCUUCCCCCCCCCCUUGGUAACAGUAUAUAAAUAGUAUGCCAUCGCUGUCUUCCAGGAUAAUUUUGAUGUUACCUACAGCCUUGGAAUUCCCAGGCUAUCUCUACUCAAGUACCAACAAGUCUGAUCUUGCUUCCAUGCCCAAAUAAGGUUGGACAGGUGAAAUGGUUGAAUCCAAAACAUGUCAGUGUGGUGCUGAAGCAAGAUCAAUGCCCAGACUCAAAGCCCAACUUCACGAUGGACUUCAUUGAAUAUUGCUGUCUUUAUUUGAUUUUAUGGGCAAGAAAAUUGAGAAUGUCUUGGCUGAUUUUUCAUUUAUCCAAGAAAUGA